AGCCAGACUCCUACGGGAGGCAGCAGUGGGGGAUAUUGCACAAUGGGGGGAACCCUGAUGCAGCGACGCCGCGUGGGUGAAGGAGUGCUUCGGCAUGUAAAGCCCUAUCGGCAGGGAAGAAGCAAGACGGUACCUGACUAAGAAGCCCCGACUAACUACGUGCCAGCAGCCGCGGUAAUACGUAGGGGGCGAGCGUUAUCCGGAAUCACUGGGUGUAAAGGGAGCGUAGACGGCUGAGCAAGCCUGAAGUGAAAGGCGGGGGCCCAACCCCCGGACUGCUUUGGGAACUGUACGGCUGGAGUGCAGGAGAGGUAAGUGGAAUUCCUAGUGUAGCGGUGAAAUGCGUAGAUAUUAGGAGGAACACCAGUGGCGAAGGCGGCUUACUGGACUGUAACUGACGUUGAGGCUCGAGAGCGUGGGGAGCAAACAGGAUUAGAUACCCUAGUA
rnacentral:rRNA from 1 species